rnacentral:rRNA from 1 species
GGUUAAGCGACUAAGCGUACACGGUGGAUGCCCUGGCAGUCAGAGGCGAUGAAGGACGUGCUAAUCUGCGAUAAGCGUCGGUAAGGUGAUAUGAACCGUUAUAACCGGCGAUUUCCGAAUGGGGAAACCCAGUGUGUUUCGACACACUAUCAUUAACUGAAUCCAUAGGUUAAUGAGGCGAACCGGGGGAACUGAAACAUCUAAGUACCCCGAGGAAAAGAAAUCAACCGAGAUUCCCCCAGUAGCGGCGAGCGAACGGGGAGCAGCCCAGAGCCUGAAUCAGUGUGUGUGUUAGUGGAAGCGUCUGGAAAGGCGCGCGAUACAGGGUGACAGCCCCGUACACAAAAAUGCACAUGCUGUGAGCUCGAUGAGUAGGGCGGGACACGUGGUAUCCUGUCUGAAUAUGGGGGGACCAUCCUCCAAGGCUAAAUACUCCUGACUGACCGAUAGUGAACCAGUACCGUGAGGGAAAGGCGAAAAGAACCCCGGCGAGGGGAGUGAAAAAGAACCUGAAACCGUGUACGUACAAGCAGUGGGAGCCUCUUUUAUGGGGUGACUGCGUACCUUUUGUAUAAUGGGUCAGCGACUUAUAUUCUGUAGCAAGGUUAACCGAAUAGGGGAGCCGAAGGGAAACCGAGUCUUAACUGGGCGUUAAGUUGCAGGGUAUAGACCCGAAACCCGGUGAUCUAGCCAUGGGCAGGUUGAAGGUUGGGUAACACUAACUGGAGGACCGAACCGACUAAUGUUGAAAAAUUAGCGGAUGACUUGUGGCUGGGGGUGAAAGGCCAAUCAAACCGGGAGAUAGCUGGUUCUCCCCGAAAGCUAUUUAGGUAGCGCCUCGUGAAUUCAUCUCCGGGGGUAGAGCACUGUUUCGGCAAGGGGGUCAUCCCGACUUACCAACCCGAUGCAAACUGCGAAUACCGGAGAAUGUUAUCACGGGAGACACACGGCGGGUGCUAACGUCCGUCGUGAAGAGGGAAACAACCCAGACCGCCAGCUAAGGUCCCAAAGUCAUGGUUAAGUGGGAAACGAUGUGGGAAGGCCCAGACAGCCAGGAUGUUGGCUUAGAAGCAGCCAUCAUUUAAAGAAAGCGUAAUAGCUCACUGGUCGAGUCGGCCUGCGCGGAAGAUGUAACGGGGCUAAACCAUGCACCGAAGCUGCGGCAGCGACGCUUAUGCGUUGUUGGGUAGGGGAGCGUUCUGUAAGCCUGUGAAGGUGUGCUGUGAGGCAUGCUGGAGGUAUCAGAAGUGCGAAUGCUGACAUAAGUAACGAUAAAGCGGGUGAAAAGCCCGCUCGCCGGAAGACCAAGGGUUCCUGUCCAACGUUAAUCGGGGCAGGGUGAGUCGACCCCUAAGGCGAGGCCGAAAGGCGUAGUCGAUGGGAAACAGGUUAAUAUUCCUGUACUUGGUGUUACUGCGAAGGGGGGACGGAGAAGGCUAUGUUGGCCGGGCGACGGUUGUCCCGGUUUAAGCGUGUAGGCUGGUUUUCCAGGCAAAUCCGGAAAAUCAAGGCUGAGGCGUGAUGACGAGGCACUACGGUGCUGAAGCAACAAAUGCCCUGCUUCCAGGAAAAGCCUCUAAGCAUCAGGUAACAUCAAAUCGUACCCCAAACCGACACAGGUGGUCAGGUAGAGAAUACCAAGGCGCUUGAGAGAACUCGGGUGAAGGAACUAGGCAAAAUGGUGCCGUAACUUCGGGAGAAGGCACGCUGAUAUGUAGGUGAAGUCCCUUGCGGAUGGAGCUGAAAUCAGUCGAAGAUACCAGCUGGCUGCAACUGUUUAUUAAAAACACAGCACUGUGCAAACACGAAAGUGGACGUAUACGGUGUGACGCCUGCCCGGUGCCGGAAGGUUAAUUGAUGGGGUCAGCGCAAGCGAAGCUCUUGAUCGAAGCCCCGGUAAACGGCGGCCGUAACUAUAACGGUCCUAAGGUAGCGAAAUUCCUUGUCGGGUAAGUUCCGACCUGCACGAAUGGCGUAAUGAUGGCCAGGCUGUCUCCACCCGAGACUCAGUGAAAUUGAACUCGCUGUGAAGAUGCAGUGUACCCGCGGCAAGACGGAAAGACCCCGUGAACCUUUACUAUAGCUUGACACUGAACAUUGAGCCUUGAUGUGUAGGAUAGGUGGGAGGCUUAGAAGUGUGGACGCCAGUCUGCAUGGAGCCGACCUUGAAAUACCACCCUUUAAUGUUUGAUGUUCUAACGUGGACCCGUAAUCCGGGUUGCGGACAGUGUCUGGUGGGUAGUUUGACUGGGGCGGUCUCCUCCUAAAGAGUAACGGAGGAGCACGAAGGUUGGCUAAUCCUGGUCGGACAUCAGGAGGUUAGUGCAAUGGCAUAAGCCAGCUUGACUGCGAGCGUGACGGCGCGAGCAGGUGCGAAAGCAGGUCAUAGUGAUCCGGUGGUUCUGAAUGGAAGGGCCAUCGCUCAACGGAUAAAAGGUACUCCGGGGAUAACAGGCUGAUACCGCCCAAGAGUUCAUAUCGACGGCGGUGUUUGGCACCUCGAUGUCGGCUCAUCACAUCCUGGGGCUGAAGUAGGUCCCAAGGGUAUGGCUGUUCGCCAUUUAAAGUGGUACGCGAGCUGGGUUUAGAACGUCGUGAGACAGUUCGGUCCCUAUCUGCCGUGGGCGCUGGAGAACUGAGGGGGGCUGCUCCUAGUACGAGAGGACCGGAGUGGACGCAUCACUGGUGUUCGGGUUGUCAUGCCAAUGGCACUGCCCGGUAGCUAAAUGCGGAAGAGAUAAGUGCUGAAAGCAUCUAAGCACGAAACUUGCCCCGAGAUGAGUUCUCCCUGACCCUUUAAGGGUCCUGAAGGAACGUUGAAGACGACGACGUUGAUAGGCCGGGUGUGUAAGCGCAGCGAUGCGUUGAGCUAACCGGUACUAAUGAACCGUGAGGCUUAACCUU